rnacentral:rRNA from 1 species
UACAGAGGUCUCGAGCGUUAGGCGGAAUCACUGGGCUUAAAGCGUGUGUAGGCGGAUUGGUAAGUACCUUGUGAAAUCCCACGGCUUAACCGUGGAACUGCUUGGUAUACUGCCUGUCUUGAGCCAGCUAGGGGCGACCGGAACAAAUGGUGGAGCGGUGAAAUGCGUAGAUAUCAUUUGGAACGCCAAUGGAGAAAACAGGUCGCUGGGGCUGUGCUGACGCUGAGACACGAAAGCCAGGGGAGCAAACGGG